UACGUAGGGGGCAAGCGUUGUCCGGAAUCAUUGGGCGUAAAGCGCACGUAGGCGGUCUGUUAAGUCGGAUGUGAAAGCCCUAGGCUCAACCUAGGAAGUGCAUUCGAAACUGGCAGGCUUGAAUAUGGAAGAGGGUCGCGGAAUUCCCGGUGUAGAGGUGAAAUUCGUAGAUAUCGGGAGGAACACCAGUGGCGAAGGCGGCGACCUGGGCCAAU
rnacentral:rRNA from 1 species